rnacentral:lncRNA from 1 species
CUGCAGGAGCACCACAUCUAGAUCAGGUGACAGUCCUGACCAUUAGAUGAUCAUUACGCUCUGUAUUGUCAGAUCAUUAUCCUUUGCACCAUGGCAUAGCUCUGUGAUGAAUGGAGACCAUGUGCAGAUUUCUACCUGAAAGCUUCAGCUCAACAGGCAAUUCUACCUGGGUGAUAGAGCCAGGGUUUCAUUUAUCUACUACCCUAUAGCAUUCAAUGCUGAUUCCGCUGGUGAUUUACAACUUUG